GAUGAACGCUGGCGGCGUGCCUAAUACAUGCAAGUCGAGCGAACAGACGAGGAGCUUGCUCCUUUGACGUUAGCGGCGGACGGGUGAGUAACACGUAGGUAACCUACCUAUAAGACUGGGAUAACUUCGGGAAACCGGAGCUAAUACCGGAUAAUAUUUCGAACCGCAUGGUUCGAUAGUGAAAGAUUGCUUUGCUAUCACUUAUAGAUGGACCUGCGCCGUAUUAGCUAGUUGGUAAGGUAACGGCUUACCAAGGCAACGAUACGUAGCCGACCUGAGAGGGUGAUCGGCCACACUGGAACUGAGACACGGUCCAGACUCCUACGGGAGGCAGCAGUAGGGAAUCUUCCGCAAUGGGCGAAAGCCUGACGGAGCAACGCCGCGUGAGUGAUGAAGGUCUUCGGAUCGUAAAACUCUGUUAUUAGGGAAGAACAAACGUGUAAGUAACUGUGCACGUCUUGACGGUACCUAAUCAGAAAGCCACGGCUAACUACGUG
rnacentral:rRNA from 1 species